rnacentral:rRNA from 1 species
GUAAGAUGGGCCCGCGUCUGAUUAGGUAGUUGGUGGGGUAGAAGCCUACCAAGCCGACGAUCAGUAGCCGACCUGAGAGGGCGACCGGCCACAUUGGGACUGAGACACGGCCCAAACUCCUACGGGAGGCAGCAGUGGGGAAUAUUGCACAAUGGGGGAAACCCUGAUGCAGCGACGCCGCGUGAGUGAGGAAGUAUUUCGGUAUGUAAAGCUCUAUCAGCAGGGAAGAAAAUGACGGUACCUGACUAAGAAGCCCCGGCUAACUACGUGCCAGCAGCCGCGGUAAUACGUAGGGGGCAAGCGUUAUCCGGAUUUACUGGGUGUAAAGGGAGCGUAGACGGAUAAGCAAGUCUGAUGUGAAAAUCCGGGGCCCAACCCCGGAAUUGCAUUGGAAACUGCAUAUCUAGAGUGUCGGAGAGGCAAGUGGAAUUCCUGGUGUAGCGGUGAAAUGCGUAGAUAUCAGGAGGAACACCAGUGGCGAAGGCGGCUUGCUGGACGAUGACUGACGUUGAGGCUCGAAAGCGUGGGGAGCAAACAGGAUUAGAUACCCUGGUAGUCCACGCCGUAAACGAUGACUACUAGGUGUCGGGAGGCAAAGCCUUUCG